rnacentral:pre_miRNA from 1 species
GAUUUCAAUUGAAAAAGUCAUCAACAACAAAGUUGAAUAACUCAUCAAGAUCUAAAACUUUUAUUUUGGUCAUUUCUUCAUACGACAAAGUGAUAGUAACAUUGUUCACAAAAUUGACAUAUCUCUUAUCUGGUUUUAUAAACUAUAACACAUAUAUGUAAAAUUUGUGAAUAAUAUUACUAACAUUUCGUCAGAUGAAGAAAUAACAAAAAUAAAAGUUUUAGAUCUUGAUGAGUUAUUCAACUUUGUUGUUGAUGACUUUUUCAAUUGAAAUC